rnacentral:rRNA from 1 species
GUAGUCCACGCCGUAAACGAUGAGUGCUAGGUGUUGGGGGGUACCACCCUCAGUGCCGAAGCUAACGCAUUAAGCACUCCGCCUGGGGAGUACGGUCGCAAGACUGAAACUCAAAGGAAUUGACGGGGGCCCGCACAAGCAGUGGAGCAUGUGGUUUAAUUCGAAGCAACGCGAAGAACCUUACCAAGACUUGACAUCCCGCUGACCGGUUUAGAGAUAGACCUUCCCUUCGGGGCAGCGGUGACAGGUGGUGCAUGGUUGUCGUCAGCUCGUGUCGUGAGAUGUUGGGUUAAGUCCCGCAACGAGCGCAACCCCUAAAUUGUGUUGCCAUCAUUUAGUUGGGCACUCAC